rnacentral:rRNA from 1 species
GACGAACGCUGGCGGCGUGCUUAACACAUGCAAGUCGAACGAAGAGCGACGGAAGCUUGCUUCUAUCAAUCUUAGUGGCGAACGGGUGAGUAACGCGUAAUCAACCUGCCCUUCAGAGGGGGACAACAGUUGGAAACGACUGCUAAUACCGCAUACGAUCUAAUCUCGGCAUCGAGGAUAGAUGAAAGGUGGCCUCUACAUGUAAGCUAUCACUGAAGGAGGGGAUUGCGUCUGAUUAGCUAGUUGGAGGGGUAACGGCCCACCAAGGCGAUGAUCAGUAGCCGGUCUGAGAGGAUGAACGGCCACAUUGGGACUGAGACACGGCCCAGACUCCUACGGGAGGCAGCAGUGGGGAACCUUCCGCAAUGGACGAAAGUCUGACGGAGCAACGCCGCGUGAGUGAUGACGGCCUUCGGGUUGUAAAGCUCUGUUAAUCGGGACGAAAGGCCUUCUUGCAAAUAGUGAGAAGGA